rnacentral:rRNA from 1 species
CCUACGGGGGGCUGCAGUGGGGAAUAUUGGUCAAUGGGGGCAACCCUGAUCCAGCCAUGCCGCGUGUGUGAAGAAGGCCCUCGGGUUGUAAAGCACUUUCAGUGAGGAAGAACGCCUGGUGGUUAAUACCCAUCAGGAAAGACAUCACUCACAGAAGAAGCACCGGCUAACUCCGUGCCAGCAGCCGCGGUAAUACGGAGGGUGCGAGCGUUAAUCGGAAUUACUGGGCGUAAAGCGCGCGUAGGUGGCUUGAUAAGCCGGUUGUGAAAGCCCCGGGCUCAACCUGGGAACGGCAUCCGGAACUGUCAAGCUAGAGUGCAGGAGAGGAAGGUAGAAUUCCCGGUGUAGCGGUGAAAUGCGUAGAGAUCGGGAGGAAUACCAGUGGCGAAGGCGGCCUUCUGGACUGACACUGACACUGAGGUGCGAAAGCGUGGGUAGCAAACAGGAUUAGAUACCCUUGUAGUC